GCUUUUCUAGUACAAACAAUACAAGUGACUUCCAAUCACUAGACCCCCCAAUUAUCCCACCAGGGGAAAAGCA